rnacentral:rRNA from 1 species
AUUGAACGCUGGCGGCAGGCCUAACACAUGCAAGUCGAGCGAGCGGCGGACGGGUGAGUAAUGUAUGGGGACUGCCCGAUAGAGGGGGAUAACUACUGGAAACGGUGGCUAAUACCGCAUACUAUCGGAUAACCCAUAUGGGAUUAGCUAGUAGGUGGGGUAAAGGCUCACCUAGGCGACGAUCUCUAGCUGGUCUGAGAGGAUGAUCACCCAAACGGGGACUGAGACACGGCCCAGACUCCUACGGAGGCAGCAGUGGAGUAUAUUGAAUAAUUGUCGCAAUCCUGAUGCAGCCAUGCCGCGUGUAUGGAGAAGGCCUUAGGGUUGUAAAGUACUUUCAGCGGGGAUGCUUUGCCCGCAGGAGAAACACCGGCUAACUCCGUGCCAGCAGCCGCGGUAAUAC